UACGGGGGGGGCAAGCGUUGUUCGGAAUUACUGGGCGUAAAGGGCUCGUAGGCGGUCAACUAAGUCAGACGUGAAAUCCCUCGGCUUAACCGGGGAACUGCAUCUGAUACUGGAUGGCUUGAGAUUGGGAGAGGGAUGCGGAAUUCCAGGUGUAGCGGUGAAAUGCGUAGAUAUCUGGAGGAACACCGGUGGCGAAGGCGGCAUCCUGGACCAACACUGACGCUGAGGAGCGAAAGCCAGGGGAGCAAACGGG
rnacentral:rRNA from 1 species